GUCUCUGUGGUGCAAUCGGUCAGCGCGUUUGGCUGUUAACUGGAAGGUUGGUGGUUUGAGCCCACCCGGGGACG
rnacentral:tRNA from 4 species